rnacentral:rRNA from 1 species
CCUACGGGUGGCAGCAGUGGGGAAUAUUGGGCAAUGGGCGCAAGCCUGACCCAGCAACGCCGCGUGAAGGAAGAAGGCUUUCGGGUUGUAAACUUCUUUUCUCAGGGACGAAGCAAGUGACGGUACCUGAGGAAUAAGCCACGGCUAACUACGUGCCAGCAGCCGCGGCAAUACGUAGGUGGCAAGCGUUAUCCGGAUUUACUGGGUGUAAAGGGCGUGUAGGCGGGACUGCAAGUCAGAUGUGAAAACUUCGGGCUCAACCUGUGCACUGCAUUUGAAACUGUAGUUCUUGAGUGCUGGAGAGGCAGACGGAAUUCCUAGUGUAGCAGUGAAAUGCGUAGAUAUUAGGAGGAACACCAGUGGCGAAGGCGGUCUGCUGGACAGCAACUGACGCUGAGACGCGAAAGCGUGGGGAGCAAACAGGAUUAGAUACCCGGGUAGUC